rnacentral:lncRNA from 1 species
GGGUAACAUUGUAGACUCUUCCAGGUUUGCCAUGGUAACAUUUGUGAGGUGUUCCUUUUUGAACAGUACCUAUUCCCUUGAUGUCUGCAGUAUCACCUUUCUUGUAGCUUCACGUGUAUGUGGCCAAAAGAACAACUCUUUUCUAAAAGGCCUGGAGAACAUUAUCAGGUUCCUCCCUUACUAGAAAAUGAGAGUGUCCCACCUGAAAAACAACUAGUAUACUUUAAUACACUUUAAAGUGACUACAUAAUAUUUCACAGCUUA